rnacentral:rRNA from 1 species
GAUGAACGCUGGCGGCGUGCCUAAUACAUGCAAGUCGAGCGAACAGAUGAGGAGCUUGCUCCUCUGACGUUAGCGGCGGACGGGUGAGUAACACGUGGAUAACCUACCUAUAAGACUGGGAUAACUUCGGGAAACCGGAGCUAAUACCGGAUAAUAUAUUGAACCGUAUGGUUCAAUAGUGAAAGACGGUUUUGCUGUCACUUGUAGAUGGAUCCGCGCCGCAUUAGCUAGUUGGUAAGGUAAAGGCUUACCAAGGCAACGAUGCGUAGCCGACCUGAGAGGGUGAUCGGCCACACUGGAACUGAGACACGGUCCAGACUCCUACGGGAGGCAGCAGUAGGGAAUCUUCCGCAAUGGGCGAAAGCCUGACGGAGCAACGCCGCGUGAGUGAUGAAGGUCUUCGGAUCGUAAAACUCUGUUAUUAGGGAAGAACAAAUGUGUAAGUAACUAUGCACGUCUUGACGGUACCUAAUCAGAAAGCCACGGCUAACUACGUG